AGAGUUUGAUCAUGGCUCAGAACGAACGCUGGCGGCGUGCUUAACACAUGCAAGUCGAGUGCGCGUGCCGUAGCAAUACGGUAUGGCGCACGGCGCACGGGUGCGUAACACGUGGGCAAUCUGCCCUUCGAUGGGGAAUAACUCCGGGAAACCGAAGCUAAUUCCGCCUAACAUUCCUUGGACCCCGGUUCGAGGAUUCAAAGCCGCAAGGCGUCGAAGGAGGAGCCCGCGCACGAUUAGCUAGUUGGUAGGGUAACGGCCUACCAAGGCUUUGAUCGUUAGCUGGUCUGAGAGGAUGGCCAGCCACACUGGAACUGAGACACGGUCCAGACUCCUACGGGAGGCAGCAGUGGGGAAUCUUGCACAAUGGGCGAAAGCCUGAUGCAGCGACGCCGCGUGGGGGAUGAAGCAUCUCGGUGUGUAAACCCCUUUCGACCGGGAAGAAUGCCUCGCAAGAGGACGGACGGUACCGGUAUAAGAAGCCCCGGCUAACUACGUGCCAGCAGCCGCGGUAAGACGUAGGGGGCCAGCGUUGUUCGGAAUUACUGGGUGUAAAGGGUUCGUAGGCGGUGUAGCAAGUCGGGAGUGAAAUCUCUGGGCUUAACCCAGAGGCUGCUUCCGAAACUGCUGUGCUGGAGUGUGGGAGAGGCGCGUGGAAUUGCAGGUGUAGCGGUGAAAUGCGUAGAUAUCUGCAGGAACACCCGUGGCGAAAGCGGCGCGCUGGACCACUACUGACGCUGAGGAACGAAAGCUAGGGGAGCAAACAGGAUUAGAUACCCUGGUAGUCCUAGCCCUAAACGAUCAGGACUUGGGGUGCCACCCGUUCGGGUGUCGUCCCGGAGCUAACGCGUUAAGUCCUGCACCUGGGGAGUACGGUCGCAGACUGAACUCAAGGAUUGACGGGGCCCGCACAGCGGUGGACAUGUGGUCAUUCGACGCUACGCGAGGACCUUACCUGGGCUCGAAUGCUGGUGACCAGCUGU
rnacentral:rRNA from 1 species